AUUGAACGCUAGCGGCAUGCUUUACACAUGCAAGUCGAACGGUAACAGGUUAAGCUGACGAGUGGCGAACGGGUGAGUAAUGCAUCGGAACGUGCCCGGUCGUGGGGGAUAACGCAGCGAAAGCUGCGCUAAUACCGCAUACGAUCUGAGGAUGAAAGCGGGGGACCGUAAGGCCUCGCGCGAUCGGAGCGGCCGAUGGCAGAUUAGGUAGUUGGUGGGGUAAAGGCCUACCAAGCAGACGAUCUGUAGCUGGUCUGAGAGGACGACCAGCCACACUGGGACUGAGACACGGCCCAGACUCCUACGGGAGGCAGCAGUGGGGAAUUUUGGACAAUGGGCGCAAGCCUGAUCCAGCAAUGCCGCGUGCAGGAAGAAGGCCUUCGGGUUGUAAACUGCUUUUGUACGGAGCGAAAAGGCUCUCUCUAAUACAGGGGGCUCAUGACGGUACCGUAAGAAUAAGCACCGGCUAACUACGUGCCAGCCGCCGCGGUAA
rnacentral:rRNA from 1 species